GAAGACCAAUUUAACUCUAUCGCCAGUGUUCAGUCUGGAAGUCUCUUGAAGGACAAAGAUCUUCUACCAAGUUGUCAAAAUGAAGUCGGUAGCUCUCUUAUACUCUAUUCUUUUGUUGAUGUUCCUCUUGGAAGAAACUGAAGGUUUUACAGGACCAAUCCCUGGCAAGAGGGUGGUGACAGCAAAGAAGUCUCUACGGAACUAUCAACGAAGUUUGUGCGCGACCGCACGAAAACUGGAUUGCGAGGGAGCCUGGGCACUGGCGAAGAGAGCCGAGCCUGUGGUCACGAGCGAAGAUUAAAGAGACUGAAGUCAGAAUGCAGUUCGAAGUAUAUCUGACGUCAAGGCCCGUUAUAAAUAAAUUAAAAAUAUAGAUGUGUGUCAUGUACCACUAUUCUAGGUGCUGAUUUAAUUGUUAGUAUUUAUUGCAAGCAGCGAAGUGUUAACAGUAUUAAAAUGCGUACAAAUUCUUGUAAAAUUACUUUGCACAUCUUGGAAGUUUGAGAUAAAAGUGCGGAGGAAAGUUAUAAUAAAAGUAAUCAAAGCUA